CAAUAGCGUAUAUUAAAGUUGUUGCAGUUAAAAAGCUCGUAGUUGAACUUCAGACCUGGCUGGGCGGUCCGCCUAACGGUGUGUACUGUCUGGCUGGGUCUUACCUCUUGGUGAGCCGGCAUGCCCUUCACUGGGUGUGUCGGGGAACCAGGACUUUUACCUUGAGAAAAUUAGAGUGUUCAAAGCAGGCCUGCGCCUGAAUACAUUAGCAUGGAAUAAUAAAAUAGGACGUGCGGUUCUAUUUUGUUGGUUUCUAGAGUCGCCGUAAUGAUUAAUAGGGAUAGUUGGGGGCAUUAGUAUUCCGUUGCUAGAGGUGAAAUUCUUGGAUUUACGGAAGACUAACUACUGCGAAAGCAUUUGCCAAGGAUGUUUUCAUUAA
rnacentral:rRNA from 1 species